rnacentral:rRNA from 1 species
AUACGUAGGGUGCAAGCGUUAAUCGGAAUUACUGGGCGUAAAGCGUGCGCAGGCGGUUUUGUAAGACAGUGGUGAAAUCCCCGGGCUCAACCUGGGGACUGCCAUUGUGACUGCAAGGCUGGAGUGCGGCAGAGGGGGAUGGAAUUCCGCGUGUAGCAGUGAAAUGCGUAGAUAUGCGUAGGAACACCGAUGGCGAAGGCAAUCCCCUGGGCCUGCACUGACGCUCAUGCACGAAAGCGUGGGGAGCAAACAGGAUUAGAUACCCUGGUAGUCCACGCCCUAAACGAUGUCAACUGGUUGUUGGGGAUUUAUUUUCUCAGUAACGAAGCUAACGCGUGAAGUUGACCGCCUGGGGAGUACGGCCGCAAGGUUAAAACUCAAAGGAAUUGACGGGG